rnacentral:rRNA from 1 species
GAUGAACGCUGGCGGCGUGCCUAAUACAUGCAAGUCGAGCGAAUGGAUUAAGAGCUUGCUCUUAUGAAGUUAGCGGCGGACGGGUGAGUAACACGUGGGUAACCUGCCCAUAAGACUGGGAUAACUCCGGGAAACCGGGGCUAAUACCGGAUAACAUUUUGAACCGCAUGGUUCGAAAGUGAAAGGCGGCUUCGGCUGGCACUUAUGGAUGGACCCGCGUUGCAUUAGCUAGUUGGUGAGGUAACGGCUCACCAAGGCAACGAUGCGUAGCCGACCUGAGAGGGUGAUCGGCCACACUGGGACUGAGACACGGCCCAGACUCCUACGGGAGGCAGCAGUAGGGAAUCUUCCGCAAUGGACGAAAGUCUGACGGAGCAACGCCGCGUGAGUGAUGAAGGCUUUCGGGUCGUAAAACUCUGUUGUUAGGGAAGAACAAGUGCUAGUUGAAUAAGCUGACACCUUGACGGUACCUAACCAGAGAGCCACGGCUAACUACGUGCCAGCCGCCGCUGUAA